rnacentral:rRNA from 1 species
AUUGAACGCUGGCGGCAGGCCUAACACAUGCAAGUCGAACGAGUGGCGGACGGGUGAGUAUUGUCUGGGAAACUGCCUGAUGGAGGGGGAUAACUACUGGAAACGGUAGCUAAUACCGCAUCCCAUCGGAUGUGCCCAGCUGGGAUUAGCUAGUAGGUGGGGUAACGGCUCACCUUGGCGACGAUCCCUAGCUGGUCUGAGCGGAUGACCAGCAACACUGGAACUGAGACACGGUCCAGACGCCUACGGGAGGCAGCAGUGGGGAAUAGUGCACAAUGGGCGCAAGCCGGAUGCAGCCAUGCAGCGUGUAUGAAGAAGGCCUUCGGGUUGUAAAGUACUUUCAGCGGGGAGGCGUUACCCGCAGAAGAAGCACCGGCUAACUCGGUGCCAGCAGCCGCGGUAAGUC